rnacentral:rRNA from 1 species
CCUACGGGAGGCAGCAGUGAGGAAUAUUGGUCAAUGGGAGAGAUCCUGAACCAGCCAAGCCGCGUGAGGGAAGACGGCCCUAUGGGUUGUAAACCUCUUUUGUCAGAGAACAAAACCCGGGACGUGUCCCCGGCUGCGUGUAACCGAAGAAAAAGCAUCGGCUAACUCCGUGCCCGCAGCCGCGGUAAUACGGAGGAUGCGAGCGUUAUCCGGUUUUAUUGGGUUUAAAGGGUGCGUAGGCGGUCCGUUAAGUCAGCGGUAAAAUUGCGGGGCUCAACCCCGUCGAGCGGUUGAAAAUGGCAGACUUGAGUGGGCGAGAAGUACGCGGAAUGCGCGGUGUAGCGGUGAAAUGCAUAGAUAUCGCGCAGAACUCCGAUUGCGAAGGCAGCGUACCGGCGCCAGACUGACGCUGAGGCACGAAAGCGUGGGGAUCGAACAGGAUUAGAUACCCCAGUAGUC